CAGUUGAGACAUAUGUCACAUCAUAUUUAAUAAUAAUAAAUAUUUCCAGAAUAAUAGAUAUUUCCAGAAUCUCCAGAAUACGGCGUUCGUCACGAAAUUAGACAAUGAAGUAUUUUAUCAUUUUUGUCUUCCUCAUUUCCCGUAAGUAGUUAUAUGGAAAUUACUUUGUAAUGAGAAAAAAAAAAGGCACUCGAGGUGCGAUGCAAACCCUGCGCGCUGAUAAAUGAUUAGAACUUUCGACGAAUUUAUGAACUGCUUCAAGAGAUAUGCGCUUGUUUGCUUAGAUCAUUAUAAAUUAAUACAUUUCAAGAGAUGCCCGCAGCCAGCCAGUAUUCGGAGCUGCUAUUGUAACUCUAUUACUCACACAUACAUAAUAAUUUAUGUAUUUAUUAUGGCUCUAUAAAUACGUUUGUGUCGUAAUAACAAGAUUCUAAUAUUACAAGAGGUCGACUUCACUGCAGAUGUCUACAAUUUCAUACGUGACAUUGAGGAUAUCUAAUAAUGUACUACAUUGUAUGCUUUAAAUAUAGAUUAAAAUAUCUUUCUAUUUCAA